CCAGUCUCUCUCUACCGCUCUCUCCUCCUUAUUAUAUUACUUCCUUACAGCCAUAAAUCCUUCCCAGAUUGGGCUAGACGAAGUGGGCGUGGGGAACGGCAGUGGGAAGCUUCCCGCCCGGCGUAACACCGCACCGUCGGCGCGGGGAAGCGUUGUGCGGGAAACGGAGAGGGAAGCCUCUCCCGCUUUCUCUCUCUCUUGCUGCGAUUGGCUGGGAAUUUUUUUUUUUUUUUGAAAAAGAACUGUUAAUCAACGGUAAAAAUAUGUAAGUUUUAUUUUAAUUAAUGAAAUAUUUUUUAUUUUUAAUUAAAAUUUAUGUUUAGCAUUAGUUUAAAAAUUAUAAUUCAUAAAAAAAAAUUAAUUUUAUUUAAUAAAAAAAAAAGAGAGAGAAGCGCCAUUGGUUCUAGGUGAGGUGAAGAAAAGCAAGGAAAGGAGGGUACCAAAAAAAAGAAAAUAGAAAAAAGUGAGGAAGAGCUUCCUUCGCUCCUUCCGGUCUUACAGCGAACCCUCUUCUCUCAAUCUGUAGGCAUGACGAUUCUGAACUCUUAUUUACCCACCCGUUCAUACUUUGAUUGUGCAAUGAAGGUGGUUCCGAGCACCAUGUGGGAAACCUCAUGUCUGAGGAAAUGGGGUCCCUUAACGAAGAAGAUGGCUGGUAUUUCUAUUGGUUUUCCUCUUUUCAUUUCACGUCUAUGUCAUCGUGACCAGAUCAUGACAUCCGUGAGCAUGUUGGUGGAAAAUUUUGUGGGAGAAUGCAAAAGGAAGAAAUAAUACUCGAUGUAAGACCAUCUGUACAGUUGCCUCUUCCAUUUUAGGGUUUUUGAGGUGAUAUCUGUUCCCUGACAUUGUUUUCCAUUAUUUCUCAUAAUUAUCAAUUUAAUGUUAUAAUUUAGAUUUAGAAGGUAAAGUUUAGUAAUUUUGUAAAGCUAUUUUCUAAAUGUUCAUGUGCAGCAAAGCAACCCCAAGAAAACACCCACCAUGUCUUUAUUUACAUUCCAAAUGCUUUGUUAGAUCUACAAACGAAACAAAAAUAUUUGAAUUCUAUUUUACAUCCUUGUGAAGAUCUUCAUAUUCUCGUUAAGUAGUCAUCCAGUGUUCUUUGUUUACAAUAGCUUUGCAUUAUACAUGAUCUACGAAAUCAGUUGGAGGCUUCUAUAUGAUUUCAUUGUGUUUAUUUUUCAUCCUUAAAACACAUUUUCUAUUAGAUUUCCAUAAUUUAUUCUACUUUGUUUGCUUACAUAGAUUGAGGUGCAUAGUGGUAGUGUUAAUGAUCUUGAAUUCUCUUACCCUAACAAACAAGGUUCCGUUGUUAGAAGUGGAAAUGAUAGAUUAAUAAAGGUUUUUAAAUUAAUAUUAUUCUGGACUUUAUUUUGUAUGAGAUGAAGCAUUCCACAGGUGUGGUCUGCAGUAACAGGGGUAAAACAAUAUACAAUUCAGGUCAUGAAGCACCUAUUUUGUUAUGUAUGUCAAGAUUUCAAGCCACUAAUUUAUCUAAUUCGUCCGUCUUCUUUUGGAUGUUCAGUAUUCUGUUUUGCUCAAAAGGACCUCUUUGGAUCAUUUUAGAGUUUCUAUUAGAAAUCAGAAUAGAUUUAUUAGCUUUUUUCCUGCAUUUUUGUAGCAAUAUUGAUGGGAUACCAAUCUUGUUUGUUAAAUACACUUGCUUUGAAUUUUUUUUUUUUUAAAUCUUUAUCUUUUGAGUGUCUAUAGACUACAAUCUCCUUACCCUACUUCUUAUUGUUGCUCUUUUCUCCUAUGUAUCCAACACUUAAAUUCCUGACAUCAAUAACUGUCUUAAAAAUGUAUGUAAGUUUUCCGAUACAAACCUCUGUGGGUCGUGCUUAGCACGGCACUUGUACUUUCCUAGUAUAUAUAUAUAUAUAUAUAUAUAUAUAUAUAUAUAUAUAUAUAUAUAUAUAAGGUAGUGAAAUGUGACAAUUUCCUACGUUUUGGUGAAUGAAAGGAGAGUAAGGAAAAACUGGCGUGACACUCAAAAAGUGAAAGAUGAAAGAUGGUAUACCCUAUAACCUAACCUACUUCUACAAACACCUUUAAAAACUAACCUACUUAACUACCUAAGUUACACCAUUAAACCCACAAUCAUGUUCUCCACUAUUGCAUUUGCUUAUAGUUUUCACAAAAACCUUAGAAUAUGAAUAGAUAGAUAAGCUUAACUUUAAAUAACCCAAAUAUUUAAAAAGUCAUGUUUAUAUAUGAUUAAUAUUAGACAAUCCAUAUAUAAUACUAUAAAAUAUGAAAAUUAAAUAAGUUGAAUGUUACAGGGUCUUACAACAAUGUUUGUGGUCUGCAUGGGAUAGCUAGAGUGAAACAUUAAUUUAAACUCCAUUUUGAGUUUUCGAUUCCUUGUAUUGUGUUUGUUUAUUUCUGCUACUAUUCUUGAAAAGCUUGUUGCGCUAACAUUUGUGCAUAUCUUCUUCCCAGAUCUCUGAGUGUCAAUCCUCCAGAAAUUUAGGACAAUGGUUGCAUCUCCAUACUUAACAUUUGAUUUAAAGGUUUGAUAAUCCGGAGGAUUGUAUGUAUGCUCGUUAUGAGGGUUAUAUUCUUUCUCGUCACUCUCGUAGCCAUCUGCCUCGCUCCGGUUAUAUUUAGUUGUUUUAGUGAUCCGACAGUUCAUUAUCAGACGUAUCAGAGUACCUCUCAUGAUCAUUCGACUUAACCGGUGAUGCAAAUGACAGUGGUUCAUCAUCUUUAUCGUCUUCAACAUCAGUAAGCUGAAUCUCAGCAUGAUUCCUUUUCAACUUCAUAUCAGCUGAAUCCAUAGGCUCGAUGUUGAUUGCCCCUUUUAGCUUCAAAGCAUGGUUUAUUCCAGUUAUCGUCUGAAUUGAAUGUGAAAUUAUUACUGCACACACAUGUAAAGUAAACAUGGUCACUAUAUAUAAAUACACAUAUAUAUACCAAAUAAAAUCUGCACAAGUAGUAAUCAUAAUACACUUACAACUAGCCAUUGAAUGUCUUUACUGGUUAAUUCUUUCUCUUUUAUCGUAAAAAUUUCAAAAACCGAGACAAUAGCCACAGUGUCAUUGUUGGAGGAUCUAUUUGCAUCUAUGUUUAAUGUUUGACCACAUCACUGAAAACAAAUCUAAAAGGCAUGAACAAAAUGAUAAACUAUUUAAUCAAAAAAAAUAAAAAGUACUCUCACUUACAUUAAUUGAUUGAAUGAUUGCGAUUCAGCUUUUUCAGAUUCUCCCAAAGUCAAAAGCAAAGUGAUGAGGUUUCCACAUACUUCACACACGAAAUCAUGAUUCAAAUUCUUCACAGAAAGAUCAUAUCCUAGCUUAGGUUUGCACUGUCGAACCAACUUAAGAAAGAUCAUAUCCUAGCUUGGGUUUGCACUGUCAAACCAACUUAAGUAUAAGUUGGUUCGACAGUGCAAACCUAAGCUAGGAUAUGAUCUUUCCAUGAAAAAUUUUAAUCUUGAUUUUGUGUGUGAAGUAUGUGAAAACUUCAUCAUUUUGCUUGUGACUUGGGAAAAAUCUGAAAAAGAUUAAACACAAUCAAUUAAUGUAAGUAAGAGUGUUUUUUAUUUCUUUUGAUUAAAUAGUUUAUCAUUUUGUUUAUAACUUUGUGAUUUGUUUUCAGUGCUGCGGUUAAACAUUAAAAAUAGAUGGAAAUAGAUCCUCAAACGACAACAACGAUGAUGACACCGUAGCUAUUGUCUUAGUUUUUGGAAAAUUUACGAUAAAAAAGAAAGAGUUAAUUAACAAAGACAUUUAGUGGUUAGUUGUAACUGUAGUAUGAUUACCACUUAUGCAAAUUUUAUUUGGUAUAUAUAUAUAUAUAUAUAUAUAUAUAUAUAUAUAUAUAUAUAUAUAUAUAUAUAUAUAUAUAUAUAUAUAUAUAUAUAUAUAUAUAUAUAUAGUGACCAUGUUUACCUUGCAUGUGUCUGCAGUUAAUGGUAAUAGUUUUAUAUUCAAUUUUGAUAAUAACCCGAAUACAAACCGUGCUUUGAAACUAAAGGGGGCGAUCAACAUCGAGCCUAUGGAUUCAGUUGAUAUAAAGCCGAAAAGGAAACAUGUUGAGAUCCAGCCUUUUGAUGCUGAAGAUGAUGAGCCAUUGCCAUUUGCAUCGACGGUUAAGUUGAAUGAUCAUGAGAGGUAAUCUGACAAGUCUAAUGAUAAGGUGUCAGAUGACUAUACAAUUAAAUAUAAUCGGAACGAGACAGAUAACUACAAGAUUGGAGAGGAAGAAGAUGACCCUAAUAACGAGCAUAUAUGGAUAAGAUCCUUUGGGUUAUCAAACCAUUAAAUCAAAUGUUAAGUAUAAAGGAGGCUGCAGCAGCAAGGGUCUCCAGAAAAAAGAAAGCAAUUGACACAGAGGAGGAGGCAAUUGGUGUGUAGAUAAUUGGAAGCAUGCAACUGUGUCUAGAUUGUCUAUAUAAUCUGUUUAUAGUACUUCUAUAAUAUGUAGUGCACAUAUUAUGUCACAUGAAGUCAUGUCUAUUCAGGGUAUCUAGAUUGUCUAUAUAGUUUGUUUGACCAGGUACUCUUAUACUAAGGUCAUAUAUUUUAAGUCGCUAGAAGUUGUUAUCAAUGGGUCCUAGUGACGUUGUAUAUAGUAUGUUUAUAGGUUAUUUAAAUUUUAGUUAUAGUAUUGGCUUAACUCUAAUUUUGUUAUGAAUUUAGUUUAAAACUUUUGUAAUUACUUUGUUUUUAGAGUUAAUUAUAUAAAAAAGUCUUAUACUUUGUGA